rnacentral:rRNA from 1 species
AUUGAACGCUGGCGGCAGGCCUAACACAUGCAAGUCGAGCGGCAGCGGAAGGAAGCUUGCUUCCUUGCCGGCGAGCGGCGGACGGGUGAGUAAGGUAUGGGGAUCUGGCCGAAGGCGGGGGAUAACCACUGGAAACGGUAGCUAAUACCGCAUAACGUCGCAAGACCAAAGAGGGGGACCUUCGGGCUUCUUGCCAUCGGAUGUGCCCAGAUGGGAUUAGCUUGUUGGUGAGGUAAUGGCUCACCAAGGCGACGAUCCCUAGCUGGUCUGAGAGGAUGACCAGCCACACUGGAACUGAGACACGGUCCAGACUCCUACGGGAGGCAGCAGUGGGGAAUAUUGCACAAUGGGCGCAAGCCUGAUGCAGCCAUGCCGCGUGUGUGAAGAAGGCCUUCGGGUUGUAAAGCACUUUCAGCGGGGAGGAAGGCAAUACGGUUAAUAACCGUGUUGAUUGACGUUACCCGCAGAAGAAGCACCGGCUAACUCCGUGCCAGCCGCCGCGGUAA